UGAGGGAAUAUUGGGGUCAAUGGGGCGGAAGCCUGAACCAGCCAAGUAGCGUGAGGGAUGACUGCCCUAUGGGUUGUAAACCUCUUUUAUAAGGGAAUAAAAUACGGGACGUGUCCUGUUUUGCAUGUACCUUAUGAAUAAGGACCGGCUAAUUCCGUGCCAGCAGCCGCGGUAAUACGGAAGGUCCGGGCGUUAUCCGGAUUUAUUGGGUUUAAAGGGAGCGCAGGCGGUCUUAUAAGCGUGACGUGAAAUGCCGCGGCUCAACCGUGGCACUGCAGCGCGAACUGGAUGACUUGAGUGCGCGGGAGGUAGGCGGAAUUCGUGGUGUAGCGGUGAAAUGCUUAGAUAUCACGAAGAACUC
rnacentral:rRNA from 1 species